rnacentral:lncRNA from 1 species
CGGCGCGGGCGGGCUCGGUGGGGGUGGGCUCGGCGAUGGUGGUGCAGGUGGCCUCGGCGGUCUGGGCGGCGGCUCCGGUGGACUUGGCGGUGGCUCGGGCGGCCUUGGUGGCCUCGGCGGUGGAGGAGGCGGGCUUGGUGGCCUCGGCGGUGGAGGCGGCGGGCUCGGUGGUGGCAUCGGUCACGGCGGCGGUGGCUGCAUCCAUCCGUGACCGUGACCGAUGGAGUAGAUCGCUGUGUAUCGACGUACGUGUUGAUCAUGUGAUGUUGAAAUAAGCAUGCAUGCAUGCAUGCUAGCUUAAUUAGCUGGUAGUACGUAAUUAGCUAGUCAAGCUCGAUCAUGCAUGUUGCUCUGAGUAGUGUUUCUCCCUCUUGGUUUAGGGCCCGCACGUGUUUGUGUUGUGUGUGCUAGCUCCUCAGUGUACCUGCAUGUGUAAUGAAAAAUAAUUCCAUCUUAUCUUUUUUCCAAAUCUUCAAAUCGCCUUUGACCAUUUUUGUCAAUAAUAUAUUUGACUAUUGUUUUACCGUAAUC